GCCGGCAUAGCUCAGCUGGUAGAGCAUCUGAUUUGUAAUCAGAGGGUCGGGGGUUCAAGUCCCUCUGCCGGCUCCA
rnacentral:tRNA from 1 species